rnacentral:rRNA from 1 species
UACGUUCCCGGGCCUUGUACACACCGCCCGUCACACCACAAAGCCGGUAACACCCGAAGCCGGUGUCCUAACCCGCAAGGGGAGGGGAGCCGUCGAAGGUGGGGAUUGGUGAUUGGGGUG